rnacentral:rRNA from 1 species
GACGUAGGAUCCGAGCGUUGUCCGGAGUUACUGGGCGUAAAGCGCGCGCAGGCGGACCGAUACAUCGGCGGUGAAAGCCCCCCGCUCAACGGGGGAGGGUCCGUCGAGAUGGUCGGUCUGGAGGCAGGGAGAGGCCAGUGGAAUUCCGGGUGUAGUGGUGAAAUGCGUAGAUAUCUGGAGGAACACCGGUGGCGAAGGCGGCAUCCUGGACCGGCAUUGACGCUGAGGCGCGAAAGCUAGGGGAGCAAACGGG